AAACUCCUCUUCCAACCCAUUUCAAUACAAUGGUAGCUGGCACCUGCCUCACGAAACUUUUAACCAGCCUCCUUUUCCAAAAGAUCUUACUCACCUAUGGCACUCGAGAAUGUAAUUUGGGAAGCAGAUCUAGGAAGACUUUCGUGCAUACACAGAUGUUGUGAGCAUUUCUACACCUAGAGGCUUUCGACACUGAGCCGCCACUCAGUCUGUAUUCACAGCUUUUUCAAGACACAAGGGUGCAAUGACAGAUGCAACAAAUGGACAAAAAGAAGUCAAAGGCUGGCGGUAACAAACACAGAAUUAUGCAAAAAUGCUCACUUGAUUAUU